rnacentral:rRNA from 1 species
GGUGAACGCUGGCGGUAUGCUUAACACAUGCAAGUCGAACGAAGUACGAAAGUACUGAGUGGCGGACGGGUGAGUAACGCGUGAGAACCUGCCUUUUAGACGGGGACAACAGUGGGAAACGACUGCUAAUACCCGAUGAGCCGAAAGGUAAAAGAUUAAUCGCUAAAAGAGGGGCUCGCGUCCGAUUAGCUAGUUGGUGGGGUAAAGGCUUACCAAGGCAGCGAUCGGUAGCUGGUCUGAGAGGACGAGCAGCCACACUGGGACUGAGACACGGCCCAGACUCCUACGGGAGGCAGCAGUGGGGAAUUUUCCGCAAUGGGCGAAAGCCUGACGGAGCAAUACCGCGUGAGGGAGGAAGGCUUUUGGGUUGUAAACUUCGUAAGUGUGGGAAGAACACCAUGACGGUACCACACGUAAGCCCCGGCUAACUCCGUGCCAGCCGCCGCGGUAAGAC